rnacentral:lncRNA from 1 species
AUGCCCAAAAGAAAAGCUGAAGGAAAUGCUAAAGGAGACAAAACCAAGGUGAAGGACGAGCCACAGAGAAGAUCUGCAAGGUUGUCUACUAAACCUGCUCCUCCAAAGCCAGAAUCCAAAACUAAAAAGGCCCCUGCAAAGAAGGGAGAGAAAGGGAAGAAGGGGGAAGCCGAUGCUGGUAAAAUGCGAAUAAUCCUGCAGAAAAUGGAGAUGCCAAGACAGACCAGGCACAGAAAGCUGAAGGUGCUGGAGAUGCCAAGUGA